AAAACUUAACUAUUUCACGCCAUUCUUCGCCAUUGAGUCCGAGCGCCCGUCCGAGGACGAUGAUCUGGUUACGUUACCGGAGCACGACUUUCAUCUGAGCUCCAGCCGACAUGCCAUCUCCAGGGGAACUCUGGAUGACAUCAUGACUGCAUUAGACUCUUAAGCAGCUCUGAGCAAAACUCACACAACUCAUCACACUAUAAAAAUAGAAUUUCACAUAAAAACAUUUACACACACACGCCCACAAAUACACACACACACACAUA